ensembl:lncRNA
CAGGGAGCAACAGGACGUCAUUCAGGGACUCCCCUAAGUCGAUCAUCUUGAGCUCAGAGAAGGACAAGAGGAAGGAUUCUCCUCUCACUGUGGACGUCCCAGAGUUGAGCAGACCUCCUUCCUCACCUGGAAGAGUACGAGCCAUGGCCAGAAACUUCUCCCGUCACGGCUGCUUUUACUCUGAUGACGAACAGGGCUCAGAGGCUCUAUUAGAAAGAGCCAGCUUCUAUUCAGACAACACUGAGAAAAAACCUAGCGAUUCUCUCAGGAGAUAUCGCAUGCCAGGCCACACUGAAGAUCUCAUCCCAAGUUUGGGGAGGAGAACAGAGUUGCUGAGUAGAGACAGAGACAGACAACACCAUUCAAACUACCAGCCUAUGGAGAGUCAGCUGACUAAUAACAGCACCUUGGUCUCCCAGCUUGACAGCGAGUUGGAGGGUGGUAGUAUUAACAAGUGUGUCCAACUAGCAAAAGAGAGGGAAGAAAUGGAGAGGGAGCUGGAGAGCUAUACAGCCGAUCAAAAAAGUCGAGGUCGUGGGAGAGACGAGGGACAGUAUAGUAAGACAAAAAGCCCUCAAAGGGACACACCCAAUGCAGAGAAAGAGCCUAUAUGGAAGCCACAGGAUGUAGCAAUAAGACAGAAACACAGGCCCUCAGGUCAGACAAGUCGGGUAUCUGACUAUCGAAAGGCGUGCUACUUUGGGAACACCAGCAGUCCCAUGGACCGACUCCCUACGUCGUGCAUACAGUGGGACAUUAGUCCUGUUACAUCAGUCACCAGCCUCCUUCCUGCACAGAGCUCCCAGGAGACCACAUCGCCCAGAUCACAGCAUGCUCGCACGCGUCGAGAAACCACAGAGGACUCUCUUGCUGUUGAUCCAUCACGCUCUCCAGUCACUCAGAACACCUCCCUCCCCAUGCUGUCCCCUGACCUAACCUCUGACACUCCCCCUGUUCUGUGUCUAGAAACACCAGACAGAGCCAGGUCAUUUAGUCCUCUGAGAGAGCAGGAUAGAUGCAGGAAGUCCAUGACUGAGCAGGGCUUACGGGAAAAGACACAAGACAAAGGUGUUGCUUCAAGGUCCAGACAUUCAUAUGCAGGCGCUCAGCCCUGGGGUUCAGCUGCCAGAGGUCCUUCAGUUGAGAGUGAGAGGCCUGAAAGUUCAGCCUCUGCACAAUAUAAUCAGCCUGAAAGAACUACAAAAUACUACACAGCCACAAGGGAUCCCAGUCCAUCAAGUUAUUCUACCUUACCCUAUGAACAUCAUGAAGUAGGGGCAAAGGCCAAAGAAAAAGAGGCCCGAGAUGACCGCCGAAGUUCAGGGUUUUACUCUGAGUUAGAAAGAGAGGGUGUGCGAACACGCUCCAGGAGAAGUGACAAAUGUCUCUUCUCUGAUAGUCCAAGCCCUGUUUCAACAUUGACACUUGUAGAAGAGGUGGAUAGUGACCAGUCCCAAUUUUCUGUCCCUGGAAUGUCAGGGUCCUUCAAGGCAAAGCCUGCCACUCCAUCUCCCCAGAUGUCCCCACUGCAGACAAGUGCAAUUCUUGAAUACCUGAGCCUUCCCGGUUUCAUUGAAAUGAGCGUUGAUGAGCCUGUGGAAGAUGCUGCAGUGACAGACACUGCUGGACAAAGUUCAGAACUAAAGCCACAUAAAUCCCCAGUGGUUAAGCCUGAUGUAGUUCCUAAAAACUGGGAGGUUCAUGGUCAGGACAACCGGAACACACACUCAACCCCCCAUUCUGCAGAAGCCAGCUUUUAUUCUGGUAAAAAACAAAGCCAUAAACACCAUGUGGAAGCUAAAGAUUCUACACAUAGAGUAAGAUUUCCAGAUGACACAACUCCAUCGUCACCUGGUCCAGAGAAAACUAGCAAGCAGCUAUAUAAUGAG